rnacentral:tRNA from 1 species
UAGAGAAAUAGGAAUUGAACCUAU